AGAGGCUUUAACUAAACCCAUUAGAUUUUAGUUGUGCUGACUAAAAUCUACUGGAGAUUUAGUCGGCUAAAACUAUUCUGAUGACUAAAAUACGACUAAAACAAAAAUUACUUUUUAGUCAAAAGACUAGGACUAAAACUAAACUGAAAUUUGCAGCCAAAAUUAACACUGGAUCAUACCCACUAAGCUGGGCUAAUAGUGGCGCUGGAUCCGUUCUAAGUAGGUGUCUAUGCCUGAAAACUUGAAGCUCAAUAGAACGUAAUCAAAAGACACGAUUUUCUGCAAUUCUAAAACAAAUGGAUCGUGUUGAAAGAAACUUUGAAUUUUACUAACUGGCUCACUUUAAAUAUCCCGCAUAGGCUACUAUAGUGUUGUGACCUGUAGGAAAAGUGACAACCUCUGGAUUGGUUUUCUAUGACUAUAAAUGUCAUUAUUUUUCUCGCUUUACAACACAUAGCAUCAUUAAUGGGACACUAUAGGAACCUAGACCACUUCAAUUCCUUGAAGUGAUCUAAGUAAGUGUCCCUGUCCCCUUAACGCUGCAAUUGUAAUUAUUGCAGGUUUUUUAUAAUCUUCGAUAGUUACCGUGUACGGUUAACUGCCACCUCUAGGCGAGGGAGGUGGGCACAACUUUGUUUUCCUACCACUAUAGUUACCCUUUAAAUUUUAAGAUCCAGCAAAGCAGGUUUAAAGAUUUAAAUUAAAACGUUGUUUGUAUAUGGUAUGUUUGGUGUAUUAUAAGAUUUUACAUUACAAAUGACAUAACAAUAAUUGCCUCAAGCUGUAUUCCCUCCCUUUUUAUUUUGGUAAUUAUGUAAACCCGUUCAUACAUAAAAAUAAGAUAUUUUUUAAAAGGG